rnacentral:rRNA from 1 species
CUUGACGGAGUUUUCGGACAACGGAUAGGAAUCCUUAGUGGCGGACGGGUGAGUAACGCGUGAGGAACCUGCCUUGGAGAGGGGAAUAACACAGAGAAAUUUGUGCUAAUACCGCAUGAUGCAGUUGGGUCGCAUGGCUCUGACUGCCAAAGAUUUAUCGCUCUGAGAUGGCCUCGCGUCUGAUUAGCUAGUUGGUAGGGUAACGGCCUACCAAGGCGACGAUCAGUAGCCGGACUGAGAGGUUGACCGGCCACAUUGGGACUGAGACACGGCCCAGACUCCUACGGGAGGCAGCAGUGGGGAAUAUUGGGCAAUGGGCGCAAGCCUGACCCAGCAACGCCGCGUGAAGGAAGAAGGCUUUCGGGUUGUAAACUUCUUUUAUGAGGGACGAAGGAAGUGACGGUACCUCAUGAAUAAGCUCCGGCUAACUACGUGCCAGCAGCCGCGGUAAUACGUAGGGAGCGAGCGUUAUCCGGAUUUACUGGGUGUAAAGGGCGUGUA